rnacentral:tRNA from 1 species
GGGAUUGUGGCUCAGUGGUAGAGUGCUUGCCUAGCAUGCAUGAGGCACUGGGUUCGAUCUUCAGCACCACCU